rnacentral:rRNA from 1 species
UACGGAGGGUGCGAGCGUUGUCCGGAAUCACUGGGCGUAAAGGGCGCGUAGGCGGCCUGAUAAGUAGGGGGUGAAACCCUGCGGCUUAACCGCAGGGCUGCCUUCUAAACUGUCAGGCUGGAGCACAGUAGAGGCAGGUGGAAUUCCCGGUGUAGCGGUGGAAUGCGUAGAGAUCGGAAAGAACACCAACGGCGAAAGCACUCUGCUGGGCCGACACUGACACUGAGAGACGAAAGCUAGGGGAGCGAAUGGG